GCCGGGCGUGGUGGCACACACCUGUAAUCCCAGCAGCUCAGGAGGCUGAGGCAGGAGGAUUGCAAGUUCAAAGCCAGCCUCAG
rnacentral:sRNA from 1 species